AUUGAACGCUGGCGGAAUGCUUUACACAUGCAAGUCGAACGGUGUCUUCGGACAUAGUGGCGCACGGGUGCGUAACACGUAUGCAACCUACCUUACAUUGGGGGAUAGCCUUUCGAAAGGGAGAUUAAUACCGCAUAAGACAGUAGCUGGGCAUCCAGCAGCUGUUAAAGAUUUAUCGAUGUAAGCUGGGCAUGCGUCCAAUUAGCUAGUUGGUGAGGUAACGGAUCACCAAGGCAAUGAUUGGUAGGGGAACUGAGAGGUCAAUCCCCCACACGGGCACUGGGAUACGGGCCAGACUCCUACGGGAGGCAGCAGUAGGGAAUAUUGGGCAAUGGACGCAAGUCUGACCCAGCCAUGCCGCGUGCAGGAUGAAGGCGUUAUGCGUUGUAAACUGCUUUUAUACAGGAAGAAACGACUCUUGCGAGAGGCAUUGACGGUACUGUAUGAAUAAGCACCGGCUAACUCCGUGCCAGCCGCCGCGGUAAUAC
rnacentral:rRNA from 1 species